UUUAUCCAUAUUGUCUCAAAUGACCAGAUUUCUUUCUUUUUUAAGGCUGAAUAGUAUUCCAUUGUACAUAUAUACUACAUUUUAUUUAUCCAUUCAUCUGUUGAUGGACACUUAGGUUGAUUCCAUAUCUUGGCUAUUGUGAAUAAGCUGCAAUGAACAUAGGAGUGCAGAUACUGCUUUGACAUAUUCAUUUCAUUUUCUUUGGAUAUGUAUCCAGAAGUGGAAUUGGGCUGGAAUAUAGGCAGUUCUAUUUUUAAUAUUUUGAGGAAACUCCAUAUUACUUUCCAUAAUAGCUGUGCUAAUUUACAUUCCCACCGCCAAUGUAUAAGGGCUUCCUUUUCUCCACAUCCUCUCCAACACUGGUUAUCUCUUGUCUUUUUGAUAUGUUUUCUCUUCUCUGUAAAGCUAUUGGUUGUAGCAUUUUACUUUUUCCAAAUUUUUUUAAUCAAACUUUUGAAAUGUAUAGCUGAAAUGAAAGAAUUUUAGCAUGAAUGCUAAUAUACACUCAGCACCUAUAUUCUUGCUUUUUCAUGUAUUUACUCCUGAAUUAAUAUAUUACUUGUUAUAUGCUUUUGAAAGUAAACUGCAAACAAGUGCAUGCUUCUCCUAGAUCUUUCCACAUGCUCUGCCAUUAAUUAGAGUUCAAUGUUCAAUUUUUUCCUUUUGAUGUACAAUUAAUACACAAUUAAUUUACACACACAUUUUACUUAGUUCUGAAAAAUGUAUAUACUUUUAUAACUCAAAGCCCAUCAUUAUACAACAUUACUAUCACCCUAGCAAAAUCUUUUGUGUCCCUUCUCAAUCACCAAUCCUGACCACACCCCAAGAAAACUACUGUUCAAAUUUUUCUCCAUCAUUGAUUGGCUUUGUCUGUUUUAGAACUUCAUAAAACUAAAAUACUGUAGUAAAUUAUGUACAAUUUUAUGACUAGCUUCCUUUGCUCAAUAUAAUGUUUUCGAGAUUUAUUCAUAUUGCUGCAUGUCAGUAGUUGGUUCUUUUUAUUGCUGCAUAUUUCAUUGAAUAAAAAUGCCAAAGCUUGUUUAUUCAUUCUUGUCUCACAUCAAAGUAUCUGGGGGAUGUUUUCCACUUUUGGCUAUUAGAAAUGAAACAGAUUUGAAUAUUGUCGUACAGGCUUUUUAUGCAUAUAUAUGCCUUCUUUGAGUAAAUACCCAGAAAUUAUGUUACUGGAUCAUAGGUUAAUAUAUGUUUAGUUUUAGAAGAAAAUGCUACCUCUUUUUUCCAAAAUAUUGUCCCAUUUUACACUCCCAGCAGUAAUGUAUGAGAUUUCCAGUUGCUGCACAUCCUUACCAAAAAUUAGCUUUUCUAAUUUUAGUCAUUGUAAGGGGUGUGUAGUGGUGGCUCUAUGUAGUUCUAAUUUGCAUUUCUCUAAUGACUAACGAUGUUAAACAUAUUUUUAUGUACUUGUUUCAUGUACUUGUUGAUAUGUCUAUUCAAUUCCUUUCACCAUUUUUAUGGAGCUGUUUUUUUAUUAUUGAGUUGUAGGAUUUCUUUAUAUAUGCUGCAUACCAGGCCUUUGUUAUAUACAUGCUUUGCAAUGUACAUUGUCUUAAAAUCUGUGGCUUGCCUGUUCAAUUCAUUAGUGGUGUUUUGUUAAGCAGUUUUUAAUUUUGAUGAAGUGUAACUUAUUCAUUUUUUAUUAUGGUUAUUGCUUUAUGUUUCAGGUCCCAAAUUUUGCCUUCUCACAAAUCACAAACAUUAUCCUAUGUUUUCCUUCAAAAAUUAUAUGGUUUUAUGUAUUUUCAAUCUCAAAAUAUUCUCUAAUUUUUUUGCUGAUUUAUUUACUAAAGAAAUUUGAGGGAUUUGCUAUAAUGUUAGGGAUUUUUCUAGAUGCCACAUUGUUAUUGAUUUCUAAUUUAAUUAUAUUAUGCUCAGAAAACAUAUUCUGUAUGCUUUCAACACUUUUAAAUUUAUUGAGACUUGUUGGAGGGUCCAGCAUAUAAUCUAUCUCAGUGAACACACUGUAUUUACUUGAAAAGAUGUAUAUUCUGCAGUUAUUCAGUGUAGUGUUCUAUAAAAUCAUUUAGGUCAAGGUGGUUGAUAGUUUGUUCAAAUCCAUCUACGUCUUCAUUAAUUUUAUUUAUCUGGCUCUAUCAAUUGCUAAAAGAAUGUUGUUAAAAAUUGUCAACUAUGAUUUUAGAAUCAUUUAUUUCUCCCUUUGAUUAAUGAAUGUUGUUUCAUGAAUUUUGAAGCUAUUCAGAGACAAAAAAAAACUAUUUAUGAAUAUUGUCUUCCUAAAUGAACUGAUGAUUCUUUUGGC
rnacentral:lncRNA from 10 species